GCAGUAGAGAGAAGAAGUCUAUGACUGGGGUGGCUGGGGUCGUUGACCAUUUUUAGGCAUUCCUCUGACACCACUUGGAUACCACGAAGACAGGGGUUAAAAAUAAAUAAGGAAAAGACAAACAUUUUGACCUUUUCAACCCUGACCUCUCGUCGUCUUCCAGGAAGCUUUGGGGGCAUCCGCCUCUACGACGGAGCUGAUCGACAUUACCCAGAAGGCCUUUGCAGUCCCAGUCGUGGAAGAUGAAGGCCCAGGGCGCGGCUGCCAUGGCGUCCAUCGCUACAACAGACGGGUUCUCUGGUCGCCCCUCACCUGGUAUGGUGUUGUCCGCUCUACUGCAGGGACUGGUUGGACGCACCUGGACUGGAAAGGUGUGUGUGUGUGUGUGUGAUAAAGUGGUCAGUAGAAGGGGGGGUGCUUAUAGGAGGUUGUAAUUAACUUGACCAACUUGUGUCUAGUGUUUAGUACAGAUGCUAGUUGGUCUAUGUACAGAUGUCUAGUGUCUAGUACAGAUGUCUAGUGUCUAGUACAGAUGUCUAGUGGUCUAGACAGAUGUCUAGAUGUCUAUGUACAGGAUGUCUAGUACAGAUGUCUAGUGUCUAGUAAAGGUGUCGUUAGCAGUGCAUGUCUAUUACAGUGUCUAUGUCUAGUACAGUUUCUCUAUCAGAUGUUUGUGUCCUAGUGUUAGUACAGAUGUCUAGUGUCUAGUACAGAGUUUCUCUCAGUGUUUGUCUAGUGUUAGUACAGAUGUCUUCUCACUCAGUUGUUAUGUCUAGUACAGAUGUCUUCUCACUCCAGUGUUUGUCUAGUGUGUUAGUACAGAUGUCUAGUGUCCCUAGUACAGAUGUCUUCUCACCAUUCUUUGGCUAGUGUUUAGUACAGAUGUCUUCUCUACUCCAGUUGUUUGUCUAGUGUCUAGUACAGAUGUCUCUCACUCCAGUUUGUUUGUCUAGUGCUAGUGAGAUUCUUUCCACUCCAGUUGUUGUGUGUCUAGUACAGAGUCUUCUCACGCCAGUUUGUUUGUGUCUAGUACAGAUGUCUUCUCACUCCAGUUGUUUGUGUCUAGUACAGAUGUCUUCUCACUCCAGUUGUUUGUGUCUAGUACAGAGGUCUUCUCACUCCAGUUGUUUGUUUGUCCGAGGAGGAGCUGUUGAACGCCAUCGGCUCUGUGUGUCUAAGUGCAGGUACGGUUUCUCCUCUCCUUCUGACACUAGGAGCAGUUGUCUCUUGUCCCUGUGAUGGGGAUUGUUGGUGAUAAUGAAGGAUGGUGGUGAUAACUGGGGAUGAUGAUUGGUGAUAAUGGGGGGGUGAUGUUGGGUGAGGUAUGGGGGUGAUGAUUGGUGAAAUGAGGAAUGUUGGUGAUAAUGAGGAGGAUGUUGGUGAUAAUGAGGAGGAAUGAUGAUGAUGUCUGUUAGUGGAACUCCAGAGAUCCUCCCCGGGCCAGCCCCAGUGUACCAGAGGUGAUAGAUCUGGUGUUGAAGGAGUGUCGUAAAGACACCUGGUCUACAGAUGGCGCCCUGGGCUGUGCUGCUGAGUCCUGAAGGCCACACAGGAAGACCGCUUCAGUGAUAUGGCAACAUACUCAUUCCACUCAUUAAGAAGGUGAGAGAGAGACAGAUGGACAGAGUUUGUGUAUUUUCCCUUUAUGACAUCAGUGUUCUACCGAUUGGCCAAAAUGUCUGAGUCCAAUCCUGGUUACAGAAUUCUGCAGCAACUUCGAGUUGAGACAUGAUAGUGAGGACGAUCGGGAUGAGAAGGAGAAGGAGUGCAGACUGAAGCUCUACUCUGUGCCUUCCAGACGCUGGGCAAGACCUGGCCCAACAACACACAAACCCAGGGUAAGGUUCUGACUGGCCCACAACCAAAAACCCAGUGGUAAUGGUUCUGACUGGCCCAACAACACACAAACCCAGGUAAAGUUCUGACUGGCCCAACGGCGGCACAAACCCGGGUGAGAUUGUUAAUGUUUUGGUCUAAUUUCAAUAGAAGCCAAACAAAAUAAGGUGAUUAUAUCAGAAGUGAUUGUAAUUGUAUUGUAGUACUGUGUGUUUAAUGCUGUCUCUCCUGUGUUCCCAGAGCGUUUCCAGUUGGACCUGUGCUGUCUGAUGUGUGAGAGGUUGAAACUCAGUACAUGGAGGGUCCAGGUGGGGUGCUACAGUCUAGAAGACAUACUUCCAGAGUAAGGAAACAAACACAGUCUAUGAGGUUGUGAGGGUUUCUCUACAGGAGGGUCUCUCUCCAGGAACAGGGUUGGAGUUAAAACCUACAGGAGGGUUUUCUCUCCAGGAACAGGGUUGGAGUUAAAACCUACAGAGGGUCUCUCACAGAAGUAAAAAAAGUCUCUCUACAGGAACAGGUGUUGGAGUUAAACCUACAGGAGGGUCUCUCUACAGGAACAGGGUUGGAGAGCCCUGGUUCUACCCCUAUCUAGAUCUGAAAGACUUAAAACAAGUCUAGCCUAUCGGAGGGUGAGGUGGAGCUGCUUCCUCUAGCCUAUCGGAGGGCGAGGUGGAGCUGCUUCCUCUAGCCUAUCGGAGGGCGAGGUGGAGCUGCUUCCUCUAGCCUAUCGGAGGGCGAGGUGGAGCUGCUUCCUCUAGCCUAUCGGAGGGCGAGGUGGAGCUGCUUCCUCUAGCCUAUCGAGGGCAGGUGGAGCUGCUUCCUCUAGCC
rnacentral:lncRNA from 1 species